rnacentral:rRNA from 1 species
UACGUAGGGUGCGAGCGUUAUUCGGAAUUACUGGGCGUAAAGCGUGCGCAGGCGGUCUGUUAAGUCCGAUGUGGAAUCCCCGGGCUUAACCUGGGAACUGCAUUGGUGACUGGCAGGCUUUGAGUGUGGCAGAGGGAGGUAGAAUUCCACGUGUAGCAGUGAAAUGCGUAGAGAUGUGGAGGAAUACCGAUGGCGAAGGCAGCCUCCUGGGCCAACACUGACGCUCAUGCACGAAAGCGUGGGGAGCAAACAGG